GGUACGGUAGCCUAGCCUGGUAUAGCACUCGGUGACUUUUACCGAGAGCAUAGGGCCCUAGUGGAUAGCUGGGAACUCUAUGUCGAAGGUUCAAAUCCUUCCCGUACCG
rnacentral:tRNA from 1 species